GCAGGCUGCAACCCGCCUGCAUGAAGCCGGAAUUGCUAGUAAUCGCGGAUCAGCAUGCCGCGGUGAAUACGUUCCCGGGCCUUGUACACACCGCCCGUCACACCAUGGGAGUCGGUAACACCCGAAGCCAGUAGCCCAACCGCAAGGAGGACGCUGUCGAAGGUGGGAUUGAUAACUGGGGUGAAGUCGUAACAAGGUACC
rnacentral:rRNA from 1 species